rnacentral:lncRNA from 1 species
AAAAGAAAAUGAACUUCUUCACCAGCAAAAUGGCGAUAUUUAUGUUGCUUUGUAUGAUUAUGAUCCGUUUAAAAGUUCUCCUAAUCCAAAUCCGUCUUUGGAAUUAAAACUAUCUGAAGGUGAUUUGAUUAAAGUCACUGACAAAACACGAAAUGAUGGAUUUUAUUUUGCAGAGAUACGAGGUAACAAAGGAUUAGUUCCGUCAAAUUUUAUCGAACGAGUAAAUGUUUCUUCAUCCGGUCAUCAGAUUCAUGAAUAUGAUUCCCAGAACCGCCGAGUACAAUUUGAACGCGGAUCAACCAAAUAACUCUUUUAUUAAAUAAUUUUUUAGAUUUAAAAUAUUUAUAUACUUUUUCUUUAUUAUAGCGGUUUGCUUAUAACAUAUAUAUUGUAACUUAUUUAUAACAUUUGCUUUCAUUUUUACGAAGCUAUGAUAGUUGUAAUUUUUGUGCUGAUUUCAUUAUAUUGAAUGAUAGGUUUUUUUUGUGUAUAUGUUGUUGAUACUUUGCAGUCCAUCUUUAUGUAAUGAAAGAAUUAUAAGUGAAAUAAA